GAGUUUGAUCGUGGCUCAGGACGAACGCUGGCGGCGUGCCUAAUACAUGCAAGUCGAGCGAGCUUGCCUAGAUGAUUUUAGUGCUUGCACUAAAUGAAACUAGAUACAAGCGAGCGGCGGACGGGUGAGUAACACGUGGGUAACCUGCCCUGUACAGGGGGACAACAGUUAGAAAUGACUGCUAAUACCGCAUAAGCGCACAGGAUCGCAUGGUCCGGUGUGAAAAACUCCGGUGGUACAGGAGU
rnacentral:rRNA from 1 species